rnacentral:tRNA from 1 species
GGCCCUGUGGCCUAAUGGAUAAGGCGUCUCCUAAACCGAAGAUUCAAGGUUCGAGUCCUUGCUGGGUCG